UAAUGUAAUAUAUCCUGACAUAAGGACUCAAGAAGAACAAUGUCGAGGAAAGUGGGAGAAGUGGUCUGUUUAUACAACGACAGGAUAAGGAUGAUCUUAUUGAUAACAACACUGGAGC